AGCAGCCGCGGUAAUUCCAGCUCCAAUAGCGUAUAUUAAAGUUGUUGCAGUUAAAAAGCUCGUAGUUGAAUUUCGGGAUCAAUAUUUCGGUCAUGCCGUUGGUAUGCACUGUUAUCAUUGAUUUCUCACCUUCUAAAGAACCGUAAUGCCAUUAAUUUGGUGUUACGGGGAAUUAGGACUGUUACCUUGAAAAAAUUAGAGUGUUUAAAGCAGGCUCACGCUUGAAUACAUUAGCAUGGAAUAAUGAAAUAGGACAUCCGAUUCUAUUUUGUUGGUUUCUAGGAUCGAUGUAAUGAUUAAUAGGGAUAGUUGGGGGCAUUAGUAUUCAAUUGUCAGAGGUGAAAUUCUUGGAUUUAUUGAAGACUAACUACUGCGAAAGCAUUUGCCAAGGAUGUUUUCAUUAAUCAAGAACGAAAGUUAGGGGAUCGAAGACGAUCAGAUACCGUCGUAGUCUUAACCAUAAACUAUGCCGACUAGGGAUCGGAUGAUGUUAAUUUUUUAAUGACUCAUUCGGCGCCUUACG
rnacentral:rRNA from 2 species